rnacentral:tRNA from 1 species
UUAGAAUCCUUUAUGUCUUA